rnacentral:tRNA from 1 species
GGUCCCUUAGCUCAGUUGGUUAGAGCGUGGUGCUAAUAUCGGGGUGAUUUACUGGUAAUCUAGUGAGGAAAUAUUUGAUAUAUAGUAACGCCAAGGUCGCAGGUUCGACCCCUGCAGGGACCA